rnacentral:rRNA from 1 species
AACCUAAAGAAUUUUGGCGGUGUUUUAAAUAAUUUGGAGGAACCUGUUUGUUAAAUGACAAUCCACAUCACAUCUUUCCUAAAUUUUGUUUGUAUAUCGUUGUUUAGGUAAUACUUAGAAGUAAUUACCAAGUUUGAUUAAAUCUUUUAAUUCAAAUCAGGGUGCAGCAUAUUUAGGUCAAAAUGGGUUACAAUGUAAAUUAUAUAUAUGGAUAUAAAAUGAAAACAUUAUUGAAAGUGGAUUCAAAAGUAAAUUAAAAUUAAAAAGUUUGGUUGAUUAAUGAUUUAAAAUAUGCACACAU